GUGUGUUUGUAGUCCCGCGGUCUGGCAGGUGUGGGAUGUUGUGCACUGUUGUUCAAUCUCCCGCCAAUAUUGCACUCGUCCCGGCCUCCCUGACCACGAGGAACACGC
ensembl:miRNA